AUUGCUCGAAUUUAUAGGACUUUUUUCUAUAAAGAAUAGUUUGGACUUGAAAUGUAUUUAAAAACAAGAGGUUGGUAGAUUAUCAGCCUCUUUCUUGUCGUUGAAAAAG
rfam:Streptococcus pneumoniae R6, complete genome.